rnacentral:misc_RNA from 1 species
CCGAGUUCAUGCCCUUCGGGGUAGAUCUCCCACCCUUUGUAUACUAUACCUUUGUUGCUUUGGCGGGCCGCCUAGCUACUGGCUUCGGCUGGUAAGUGCCCGCCAGAGGACCCCAAACUCUGAAUUAUAGUGUCGUCUGAGUACUAUAAAAUAGUUA